rnacentral:rRNA from 1 species
AGGGCACCACCAGGAGUGGAGCCUGCGGCUUAAUUUGACUCAACACGGGAAAACUCACCCGGCCCGGACACCGUAAGGAUUGACAGAUUGAUAGCUCUUUCAUGAUUCGGUGGUUGGUGGUGCAUGGCCGUUCUUAGUUCGUGGAUCGAUUUGUCUGGUUUAUUCCGAUAACGAGCGAGACUCUAGCCUACUAACUAGUGCGGGCAUUGCCGCUGUGCCUCGCCGCACUUCUUAGAGGGAUUGGCUGCGUCUAGCAGCACGAAACGGAGCAAUAACAGGUCUGUGAUGCCCUUAGAUGUCCGGGGCUGCACGCGCGCUACACUGGCAAAGGCAGCGUGCUUGUCCGCCUCCGAAAGGAGCCGGUAAACCCAUGAAAAUUUGCCGUGAUUGGGAUCGGAAAUUGCAAUUAUUUUCCGUGAACGAGGAAUUCCAAGUAAGUGCGAGUCAUCAGCUCGCGUUGAUUACGUCCCUGCCCUUUGUACACACCGCCCGUCGCUGCCUAGAACUGAGCCACUUCGA